rnacentral:rRNA from 1 species
CGUAGGGGGCUAGCGUUGUCCGGAUUUAUUGGGCGUAAAGAGCGUGUAGGCGGCCAGGUAGGUCCGGUGUGAAAACUCGAGGCUUAACCUCGAGAUGUCAUCGGAAACCAUCUGGCUAGAGUCCGGAAGAGGAGAGUGGAAUUCCUGGUGUAGCGGUGAAAUGCGCAGAUAUCAGGAAGAACACCAAUGGCGAAAGCAGCUCUCUGGGACGGUACUGACGCUGAGACGCGAAAGCGUGGGGAGCGAACAGGAUUAGAUACCCUGGUAGUCCACGCCGUAAACGAUGGGCGCUAGGUGUGGGCGGUGUCGACUCCGUCCGUGCCGAAGCUAACGCAUUAAGCGCCCCGCCUGGGGAGUACGGCCGCAAGGCUA